rnacentral:rRNA from 1 species
UACGUAGGUGGCAAGCGUUGUCCGGAUUUAUUGGGCGUAAAGCGAGCGCAGGCGGUUCCUUAAGUCUGAUGUGAAAGCCCCCGGCUCAACCGGGGAGGGUCAUUGGAAACUGGGAAACUUGAGUGCAGAAGAGGAGAGUGGAAUUCCACGUGUAGCGGUGAAAUGCGUAGAGAUGUGGAGGAACACCAGUGGCGAAGGCGACUCUCUGGUCUGUAACUGACGCUGAGGCGCGAAAGCGUGGGUAGCAAACAGGAUUAGAUACCCUGGUA